rnacentral:rRNA from 1 species
UACGUAGGGUGCAGGCGUUAAUCGGAAUUACUGGGCGUAAAGCGUGCGCAGGCGGGUUGCUAAGACAGGGGUGAAAUCCCCGGGCUUAACCUGGGAACUGCGCUUGUUACUGGCAGGCUUGAGUGUGGCAGAGGGGGGUGGAAUUCCACGUGUAGCAGUGAAAUGCGUAGAGAUGUGGAGGAACACCGAUGGCGAAGGCAGCCCCCUGGGCUAACACUGACGCUCAUGCACGAAAGCGUGGGGAGCAAACAGG